rnacentral:rRNA from 1 species
AACGCGAAGAACCUUACCUGGGCUUGACAUGCUUGGAUUAUCUCCAUGAAAGUGGAGUAGGCCCCGCAAGGGAAACAACAAGUACAGGUGCUGCAUGGCUGUCGUCAGCUCGUGUCGUGAGAUGUCGGGUUAAGUCCCUUAACGAGCGAAACCUUUGCCCUUAGUUACCAUCGGGUUAAGCCGGGGACUCUAAGGGGACUGCCGGUGUCAAACCGGAGGAAGGUGGAGAUGACGUCAAGUCCUCAUGGCCUUUAUGCCCAGGGCUACACACGUGCUACAAUGGGGUGCACAGAGCGAACCUAGAGCGCAAGCUGGAGGAAAUCGCAGAAAUCACCCCCCAGUUCAGAUUGGAGGCUGCAACUCGCCUCCAUGAAGUUGGAAUCGCUAGUAAUCGCGGAUCAGCUACGCCGCGGUGAAUGUGUUCCCGGGCCUUGUACACACCGCUAGUC